rnacentral:rRNA from 1 species
CUGGCGGCAGGCUUAACACAUGCAAGUCGAACGAUGAAGUCUAGCUUGCUAGACGGAUUAGUGGCGAACGGGUGAGUAAUGCUUAGGAAUCUGCCUAUUAGUGGGGGAUAACGUAGGGAAACUUACGCUAAUACCGCAUACGACCUACGGGUGAAAGGGGGCUUUUAGCUCUCGCUAAUAGAUGAGCCUAAGUCGGAUUAGCUAGUUGGUGGGGUAAAGGCCUACCAAGGCGACGAUCUGUAGCUGGUCUGAGAGGAUGAUCAGCCACACUGGGACUGAGACACGGCCCAGACUCCUACGGGAGGCAGCAGUGGGGAAUAUUGGACAAUGGGCGAAAGCCUGAUCCAGCCAUGCCGCGUGUGUGAAGAAGGCCUUUUGGUUGUAAAGCACUUUAAGUGGGGAGGAAAAGCUUAUGGUUAAUACCCAUAAGCCCUGACGUUACCCACAGAAUAAGCACCGGCUAACUCUGUGCCAGCAGCCGCGGUAAUACAGAGGGUGCAAGCGUUAAUCGGAAUUACUGGGCGUAAAGCGCGCGUAGGUGGUUAUUUAAGUCAGAUGUGAAAGCCCCGGGCUUAACCUGGGAACUGCAUCUGAUACUGGAUAACUAGAGUAGGUGAGAGGGGAGUAGAAUUCCAGGUGUAGCGGUGAAAUGCGUAGAGAUCUGGAGGAAUACCGAUGGCGAAGGCAGCUCCCUGGCAUCAUACUGACACUGAGGUGCGAAAGCGUGGGUAGCAAACAGGAUUAGAUACCC